rnacentral:rRNA from 2 species
GGAUCCAGACUUUGAUUCUGGCUCAGGAUGAACGCUAGCUACAGGCUUAACACAUGCAAGUCGAGGGGAAACGAUAGAGAAAGCUUGCUUUUUCUAGGCGUCGACCGGCGCACGGGUGAGUAACGCGUAUCCAACCUGCCCAUCACUUGGGGAUAACCUUGCGAAAGUAAGACUAAUACCCAAUGAUAUCUCAAGAAGGCAUCUGAAUGAGAUUAAAGAUUUAUCGGUGAUGGAUGGGGAUGCGUCUGAUUAGCUUGUUGGCGGGGUAACGGCCCACCAAGGCGACGAUCUGUAGGGGUUCUGAGAGGAAGGUCCCCCACAUUGGAACUGAGACACGGUCCAAACUCCUACGGGAGGCAGCAGUGAGGAAUAUUGGUCAAUGGGCGAGAGCCUGAACCAGCCAAGUAGCGUGCAGGAUGACGGCCCUAUGGGUUGUAAACUGCUUUUAUAAGGGAAUAAAGUGAGCCUCGUGAGGCUUUUUGCAUGUACCUUAUGAAUAAGGACCGGCUAAUUCCGUGCCAGCAGCCGCGGUAAUACGGAAGGUCCGGGCGUUAUCCGGAUUUAUUGGGUUUAAAGGGAGCGUAGGCCGGAGAUUAAGCGUGUUGUGAAAUGUAGAUGCUCAACAUCUGCACUGCAGCGCGAACUGGUUUCCUUGAGUACGCACAAAGUGGGCGGAAUUCGUGGUGUAGCGGUGAAAUGCUUAGAUAUCACGAAGAACUCCGAUUGCGAAGGCAGCUCACUGGAGCGCAACUGACGCUGAAGCUCGAAAGUGCGGGUAUCGAACAGGAUUAGAUACCCUGGUAGUCCGCACGGUAAACGAUGGAUGCCCGCUGUUGGUCUGAAUAGGUCAGCGGCCAAGCGAAAGCAUUAAGCAUCCCACCUGGGGAGUACGCCGGCAACGGUGCAACUCAAGGGAAUUGACGG